rnacentral:rRNA from 1 species
AACGGCCGCGGUAUCUUGACCGUGUAAAAGUAGCAUAAUCAUUUGUCUUUUAAAUAAAGACCUGUAUGAAUGGCACAACGAGAGCUCAACUGUCUCAUUCUCUCUAUCAAUGAAAUUGAUCCCCCCGUGCAGAAGCAGGGAUGAAAACAUAAGACAAAAAGACCCUGUGGAACUUUAGAAAUCAAACAACAAUACUUCUUAGCUUCUAUGCCCUUUAUUUUAUCUUCGGUUGGGGCAACCAUGGAGAAAAAUAUAACCUCCACGAAUCAUUAAAAUUGAAAUACAACUCUAACUUAUAGAACACCUUCCACAAUGACCCGAGAAAAUAUCGAUCAACGAAAAAGUUACCCCAGGGAUAACAGCACAAUCCCUUUUUAGAGCCCCUAUCGACAAAGGAGUUUAUGACCUCGAUGUUGGAUCAGAACAUCCCAAU